GAAAGGCGUAGUCGAUGGGAAAAUGGUUAAUAUUCCAUUACUUCUGUGUAAUGCGAUGAGAGGACGGAGAAGGCUAAAUCAGCCUGGCGUUGGUUGUCCAGGUGAAAGGAUGUAGGCAUGUAUCUUAGGCAAAUCCGGGGUACUCUAUGCUGAGAUCUGAUAGCAAGCUGUACUUGUACAGCGAAGUGGUUGAUGCCAUGCUUCCAGGAAAAGUCUCUAAGCUUCAGUUACACAGGAAUCGUACCCGAAACCGACACAGGUGGUCAGGUCGAGUAGACCAAGGCGCUUGAG
rnacentral:rRNA from 1 species